CAAUAGCGUAUAUUAAAGUUGUUGCAGUUAAAAAGCUCGUAGUUGGAUUUGUGGCGUACGGUGUGUUCCGGGCACUUGUUGUCUGAGUAACCUGCUGUUGCCAUCCUUGGGUGGAACCUGUGUGGCAUUAGGUUGUCGUGCAGGGGAUGCCCAUCAUUUACUGUGAAAAAAUUAGAGUGUUCAAAGCAGGCUUAUGCCGUUGAAUAUAUUAGCAUGGAAUAAUGAGAUAGGACUUUUUUGCUAUUUCGUUGGAUUGCGCAAGAAGGUAAUGAUUAAUAGGGACAGUUGGGGGUAUUCGUAUUCCAUUGUCAGAGGUGAAAUUCUUGGAUUUUUGGAAGACGAACUACUGCGAAAGCAUUUACCAAGGAUGUUUUCAUUAA
rnacentral:rRNA from 1 species